UUUCCCUCAGGAUAGCUGGCACUCGCUUGAGCGAGUCUCAUCUGGUAAAGCGAAUGAUUAGAGGCCUUGGGGCCGAAACGACCUCAACCUAUUCUCAAACUUUAAAUGGGUGAGAUCUCUGGCUUGCUUGAACGUUGAAGCCACGAGAAAUUUUUAUGUAAUGGAUCAGAGUGCCAAGUGGGCCAAUUUUGGUAAGCAGAACUGGCGCUGUGGGA
rnacentral:rRNA from 1 species